AGUGAACGCUGGCGGCGUGCCUAAUACAUGCAAGUCGAACGAAGUGGCGCACGGGUGAGUAAUAUAUAGUUAAUCUGCCCUACACAGAGGAACAACAGUUGGAAACGACUGCUAAUACCUCAUAGUGUAGGAUGAGACUAUAUCGUAUCAGCUAGUUGGUAAGGUAAUGGCUUACCAAGGCUAUGACGCGUAACUGGUCUGAGAGGAUGAUCAGUAAAAUUGGAACUGGGAAACGGUCAAAACCCUGACGGGAGGGAGAAGUAAGGAAAAUGGGCAAAUGGGGGAAACCCUGACGCAGCAACGCCGCGUGGAGGAUGACACUUUUCGGAGCGUAAACUCCUUUUAUCAGGAAAGCGGUACCUGAUGAAUAAGCACCGGCUAACUCCGUGCCAGCAGCCGCGGUAAUUC
rnacentral:rRNA from 1 species